rnacentral:rRNA from 1 species
AUUGAACGCUGGCGGAAUGCUUUACACAUGCAAGUCGAACGGCAGCACGGACUUCGGUCUGGUGGCGAGUGGCGAACGGGUGAGUAAUGUAUCGGAACGUGCCCAGUCGUGGGGGAUAACGUAGUGAAAAUUACGCUAAUACCGCAUACGAUCUAUGGAUGAAAGCGGGGGAUCGCAAGACCUCGCGCGAUUGGAGCGGCCGAAAUCAGAUUAGGUAGUUGGUGGGGUAAAGGCCCACCAAGCCAACGAUCUGUAGCUGGUCUGAGAGGACGACCAGCCACACGGGAACUGAGACACGGUCCAGACUCCUACGGGAGGCAGCAGUGGGGAAUUUUGGACAAUGGGCGAAAGCCUGAUCCAGCCAUUCCGCGUGCAGGAUGAAGGCCCUCGGGUUGUAAACUGCUUUUGUACAGAACGAAAAGGUUUCUACUAAUACUAGGAGCUCAUGACGGUACUGUAAGAAUAAGCACCGGCUAACUACGUGCCAGCAGCCGCCGUAA